GUUUUUUAUCUUUCCAUAACCAGGAGGAGAGCGCGUCGUUGUGUUACAAAGCUUUACGCGUUGAUUUAUUACAAAAUCACUGGUGGUGGAUGCACAACAUGACACCAUCAGCGUCAACAACAUUCGUGGACCCGUGGACACAUGUUGAGGUGGUCACAUAACGAACAUCUGUCAGGCCAUGUGCCACAACCAAACAAGUAUUGUCUCCAGUCCCAAAUGCUUCAUUGCCAUCCCAGUCCCAGAGGACCCCCCAGUCCAACCCUGGUCCUCGAGAGCCACUGCACUGCUUGUUUUCCAGCUGUCCCUGCCCUUCCAGCUUCUGACUGACAACACACCUGAUCCAUUACUAAUCAGCAGUGAGUAAGGCAUGGAUAGUUGGUAAACAAGCAGAGUCAUGUCAAAUGCUUAAUGGCCAAAUUAAUUUAUGAGGGGUGGUGGCCAACUUUCAAAGCAUUUCAAGGCUACAGCUUUGUACUAUGUAAUUUAAGAUGCUCUGAAGAGGUGGAGUCCAACUGCCACAGACUCCGAAAUUGAUGCAUUAAUGGCGGAACACCUAAAACACGCUCCAGGAAGAGCUGGGGGCGGUGGUUAUAAGAAAUAAGCUGUUUUGAGAGACAUUUACAUGUGUGUUUACAUUAAUCCAGUAUUUUUGUUUUGUACUUGUUUGAUUUAUAGCUGUUUAAAAUUUAAUGCAAAACCGUUUCAAUUAAAAAAAUUGAGUACUGCCACAAUAAUAAUGCUUCUGGAAGAGCAAGUGCUUGUGGAGCAACAAAAUGAUAGUAAACAUUUUGGAAUAAUGAUAAAUAAAUAAAAGAUUAUAAAUAUA